rnacentral:lncRNA from 1 species
GUUUUGGUACCGCCUCCAUUUUCCGGAAGUUAUAUUCACACUGCUGCUGCUACCGCCUGGACUUUGACACAUGUAGAAUAAGGAGGAGGUUUGUCUGUGAUCUGAAGUUUUAACCGAGUCACUGUCAGGUUUAUCCUCGUCUCUCGCUCUCUGGCUCAUCCGUCAUGGCGCAGGAAAAUCUGUCUUUAGUGCUGCACUCAAAGGGAGACCUCAGACUGGUAAGAGACCGGCACAGACUUUUAUAUUAUGUGGGGAACAAAAUAAGUUGUAGCUCGUAUGAAACCAUCUAAAUGCACAUUUUUUCCUUUUGAUUUUGUUCAUUUCUCAAAGGAAAAUCGCCCUGUCCCGGAGCCAGGACCUAAUGGUGCAGUAUGACAGUCUACUUUUACAAACAUUACAAAAUAACUUAUUAAAAUGUUGAAGAUGUGUGUCUCACUGCAAAACCAUCUCAAAGCUAGAGCAUGGUCAGGCUGUUCUGCUUCAACUUCAUGCAAUUUAUUUCAAUGAGCAUAUUUUUACCUCCAGAGAAAGUAUCUUUACUGAGCCAAAGCUGAGGUUUUGUUUUUAUGAUCAGGUUGCAAACAUUGCUUUUUGUCAUGUGUGUCCUGUUUUUUCUUUUUCCAGAGGUUUUGCUGCAGAUGCACUCUGUGGGAAUUUGUGGAUCAGACGUUCACUACUGGCAGCACGGACGGAUCGGGGAUUUUGUGGUUAAAAAACCUAUGGUGCUGGGCCAUGAGGCAUCAGGGCGGGUGGUGAAGGUUGGAGCUGCAGUCAAGCAUCUGAAAGUAGGUGAGUGGGCGAGGAGUGUGUAUGUGUGUGUGUCUGGAAGCUGUUAAAUACCGGAGACUAUAUGUCACACAGCAAAGGGAGAUUCAGAAACUUUUACAUCUUUUAUCAUCUCUUAUCUCUUUUACCUCGAUCUUAUUUCGGCCUUACUGUCUUUUUAGCUUUUGUUUUACUUGUACUCUUUUCUUAAUCAACCUUUCAGGUCUUUUAUCGUUUUAUCUCUUGCUCAUUUCUGUUGCUCUAUUUUAUCAUUACUUUUAUUAUCAGGAUUACCUGUUAUCAUUUAAUUACCAUUGUUGAUAUUGCCUUUUAUAUUUACUAUCCUGUUCUCGCUUUCGUCCUCCCUUUUAAUUGCAUUAUCCUUUUUUCUUAACUAUUUCAUGUUUUUAUUUUGGUCUUCAUGGUGUCAUUUUAUGUUGCAUGGUUCUUGUAUUGUCUGGGUUCCUAAUGACAUGAAAAUGGCCUUCAAUACCGUUUUAACUGAGCUUUUUGAUUUUAUUUGUCUUUUUCCAUGUGCUCCACAACUACAUGUCAACAUCUGUUUUUUAAAAGUGCUAUACAAAUAAAGUUAUUUAUAAUCUUUUUCUAAACUCUUGUCUUUUUAAAAGUUGUCAUUUCAACCAUUUGUGACCGAUUUCACUCCAUAUGAAUAAGUUUCCACUCAGCCUCACUGUAAUAGAGAUACUAUGACAAACUAACUCUGUGCUUUUUAAUCUCGCCUUGUGUCCUGAAGGUGACAGAGUUGCCAUCGAGCCUGGCGUUCCCCGUGAAAUGGACGAGUUCUUCAAAAAUGGACGAUACAACUUAUCUCCAACCAUCUUCUUCUGCGCCACUCCCCCUGAUGAUGGAAAUCUGUGCCGAUAUUACACCCACAGCGCCGACUUCUGCUACAAGUAAGUCUGUUCAGGAUUUCAUAGCCACGCUGCAAAAGAUUACUCCACCACUGCCUUAUAUCUCUCUCCAACUGACUCUUGCCUCACUUUUACAUCCUUCUCUUUCCCUCCUCUUUGUUCCUCUCAUUGUAACAAAUCAGGUUGCCUGACAAUGUGACAUUCGAAGAGGGAGCUCUAAUUGAACCUCUGUCCGUGGGGAUCCACGCCUGUCGCAGAGCAGGUGUGACCCUCGGCAGCAGUGUGCUCAUCUGUGGUGCAGGUGAGAACUAUUAAACCUGCAUUAAAUUUUUGCAUUGAGAAAGUACUGCAGACUGCCUUUCAGAGUAUGAUGCAAUCCGAUAUAAAGGAGGUGAUUGCAAUAUAUUUUAACGACAUGCCCCUGCAAGAAAGGAAUUUGGUUCAACACUCUGUGGGUGUAUUCACAAACCUGAGAAUCAUACUGACUCAACAAAAUCUGAGUGAGAAGCUGCUGAACCUGAACACACCUUGUUAGGGUCUUAAUAUUUAACAAACCCCCUCUGCUGUGAAAACAAGCUAAUAGGAAACAUUUGAGACGAUUCCAUGAAGCAACAACAGAUGAAACACUUGAGGUUUUCAAUUCGGAUAUAGCUGCAGGUUACACCUAUACUGCGGAUAUUAGUUAUGAAAUGUUAGUCUCUUUCGAGCGUUGAAUGUGUUCACUCAUGCUGUUAGAAAAGACUGUAUCUAUAAGUGUUACAUUAGCCAAUACUCAGCUGUCUCCUUUAUUCGUCCUCUCUCAACAGGACCGAUUGGGUUGGUUUGUUUGCUCAUAGCCAAAGCGAUGGGAGCGUCACAAGUUGUCAUCACUGGUAACUCGCAGAAAAUCCCUCUAAACUGAAAUGACCAUUGUCAAGAAACAGGUUCUUGUAGUUGUCCUUGUCAUUAUUAUUUUUAUUCACAAUAAUGUUUGUGAAACCUCAUACCUUGUAUUCAGAUCUGUCCUCAGAGCGCCUCGCAAUGGCCAAAGAGUUGGGGGCAGACUUCCAGCUGACAGUGACAAGAGGAGACGGACCCCAGCAGCUGGCUCAGAGUGUUGCAGACAUGCUGGGCGCUCAGCCUCACAUCACUAUUGAAUGCACUGGAGUCGAGAGCAGCAUGCAAACGGCCAUAUAUGUAUGUGAAUAUCCUUUAUAAAGAGCAUUAAAAGUUGUAUUCAAAACAAGUUAGCAUCAAUGCAUAAACUGGAGACAAUAGAGAAUUCAUUCAGGCACUAGACUUUUCUACAGUAUUUAUAGUUGAUCAGUAUGGUGCAGCUGUUAUUUAGCUGUAUGUCUUAAUCUUGAUUUAAAAAUCUGACAUAAAUCACAUGAUUUGAAAUCGUACUGUGUUUUUUUCUUCUUGUCAGGCAGUUCGUUCAGGUGGUGUGGUGGUGCUGGUGGGUCUGGGUGCAGAGAUGGCCACUGUUCCGCUGGUUAAUGCAGCUAUCAGAGAAGUGGACAUCAGAGGGGUUUUCCGCUACUGCAACACGUAAGAAAUUCUCCCUUGCUUGCUCCUCUGGUGGUGUCAGCAGAUGUUCUGAGGCCGAUGAUAAGAUUAACUAAGCUUUUGGUUUGGUUUACAGAUACUAAUAAUUACACGAUAAACCUUCUAGUGAUUGUUUAGUAUCCCAAACAUCUGAAAUAUUUGUCUUUGUGUUGCAGUUGGCCAACUGCCAUAGCCAUGUUGGCUUCAGGUAAAGUGAACGUGAAGCCCCUUGUGACGCACCGUUUCCCUCUGGAACAAGCGGUUCAGGCCUUUGAGACCACCCGUCAGGGUGUCGGGAUAAAGGUUAUGUUAAAGUGUGACCAGAAUGACCAGAAACCCUGACCUGCUUCAGUGACAAAAACCUGAUCAACUGAGGACAACUCAGCAUGACAGACACAAACAUCCCACACACAAACACACACACAGGACUUUGACCUAGAGAAAGAUAACAGAUCUAGCUUAAAGGGACCAGCUAACAUCAACACUGUGAUAGUGUGUACUGUGCACUGCACGAAGGUCAGACGCUCUUUUAGCAUCAAAUGGUACAUGUAAUUAUAGAACACUGAACUCUAAAAGAAUAUUUAAAUGAUUUGAACACGAUUUUAUAUCAUUACAUAAUUUCUAAAUUAUUGACCAUUUUAUAGGCAACUACUGUUAAAAAAAGAGAAUCCUCAGAAUAAAAUCAAAAUCAGAAAAUAUCAUGGACUCCUUUCUCUUCUUUGGUGUCUCAGAAAUGGCCACUAGGUGGUAUCAGAGAUUCGGAGAAAAUAGAUACAGUAGGUUUGUACAAACUGGUGGUGGAGUUAUACAGCAUGUACUCUACAUUGUUGGAUUUGAAAAUACCUUAAAGUUUAUGUUUAAGAACUUAAUUCUGACGUUUUUACAGAGAAAAAACAAACCAACUGGUGUUUCAAAAAUAUGUUGUAAAAUAUGUUUUUUAUAACUGCAAUAACUCAUAAAAAAAACUUUUCAGAAAAAGUGGACCUGAAGUCUAACAAUUGUGGUGUAUCACUGCACCAUUCGGCUCUGAAUUUAUUUUUACAUUAAUUUAAUUUUCAAGUCAUGUGUGUAAAGUCAUAAUAUGACAUCCAUCUUAUUAACAGUCUAUGUCCAAACCUUUGAUAAUGCAUUAAAGAGAAUGGGGGAUUUGUUUUUUGUUUUUUUUUCAUAGCCCAAUGAUUUUCAUAUUUUUGUCAUCUUAGAUAAUCAAAAUGUUGACACAUAUUUUGAAAUUGGUUUGCAAAUAAGAGCUGUGGUUUGAUUGUAUUCUAAAAUACAAACUUUCUGACCCUGUGCUAAACUAGAGUAUUGCCUCUUGUGGUCAGAAAACAGAAAAAUGAAUUGUUCAACAAGCGCUAAAAAUUGUGCACUAUAGUCAUGUAAUCAAAAACCCCUCCAAGCCAGUCUUAACCUCGCUUAUUUCUCUGUUUUGACUUAAGUUAAAGUUUACUACAGCCUUUCUCUGAACUUGAAUGCAGCUGUAAAUACUCAACAACAGAGCAGUAUAAAAGAAAAGGCUUUGGGAGAAAUAAAUGGCUUGCUAAUGAUUAACUUGCUCAAUAUUCCCUAUCAAACCUUUUAGCUGCAAGUGGCUAAUUUACCAUUGACUGAUAAUAUACAUAAUGUUAACUUAGAUUAAAAGAUCUGACUUAAGGCCAAGCUAACAAAACCAACAAGCUAACAGCGAGUAAACUGUGUCUGAGUGUAUGUUGAAGAACAAGUUUGUCUGGUUUUUAAGUAGUGUGCUUCAGGCACAAGACAACAUUUAUUGUAAGUGACUCAUCUCCAGAUCAAGGUUUAUACCUCAAAGUAGGUUUACCUACUGAUUGAACUAAUUACCCUCCAAGAAACUUUUUCAAGUGUCACACAGGUCAAGAUAGACUUUCCCCCUUACCAUAAACUGAGUACCCCAGGUCAUUAUUUAAAGUGUAACAGGAUUUAAAACUGUGUGGUUCAUAAGCAGUUUGACAUGAAGUGAGGGAAAAAACAUCACAUUACAACAGGCAAACAAAGCAAAUAGUGCAAAAAUAAUCACACAAGUCAAACAGGAUACUGAUGAAACACAUUCAGUAUCAUGUCAAAGAUUAUGUAAAACAGCGCCAAGUCUCCUGUUGCUAACUUGGACAGCUGAGCAGUGCUUUACAAUGGUGGCUAUCAGUGUCAAAUGCCAAGACCAAGACGGUCUUGACAAAUUCUGGGCACAAAAACACCUGAAGUCUCCGAGAAGCCAUCAAAAUGGACUUUACUAUGUCAUGGAGGGAUAUAUCCAGAAUUUAAAAUUAGAUGAGUAAUCUGCAUGAUCAAAAAUACUGUUAUUGCUAUAUGUUAAUAUAGUUGUCCCUAUAAUAGAAAUAUUACUAAUACGACAUACAUGGAAUGUUUUAAUGUUCUUUAUAUAAAUGGUUUAAUGUAACUGCCUUGUGUGUGUGUGUGUGUGUGUGUGUGUGUGUGUGUGUGUGUGUGUGUGUGUGUGUGUGUGUGUGUGUGUGUGUGCGCGUAGACCUAUAGCUAUUGCUCUACCUAUUUGUUUAAUGUUUAUUUAUGAAAAUCCAUGGUUAAAAUUAUUUUUGAGUACAGAGGAACAUAAGUAAAACUCUGAGGUUCGUUACAAACCAAACCGUUUGAAAAUCGGUUCAAAAUUAAGCAAUUCCUGGCUAUUUAAAUGCUACAUGCACCGUAGACUGUAAUGUAAUGAGUGGGCGAGCGUCCGAUAGCGAAAUGGCCGCCGGAUGCGGAUGUCGGUCUCCAUUGGCUAACAGCGUGCGUAAUCCAUCUACCGUUUAUAUUUAAAAUUGUGCUAACCUGGGCUAACAUUAGCACCAGAGUCGAAAGUUACUACAUCGCUAAUGACGAUGAAAUAACUGUCGGUAAAGGUUGUAGAUUUAAAGCUUCGUUGGUGUAACUUGCCUUAGAACAAACGUAGACAUCCUUGUUGAUCUUCUGGACGUUAAGUUGGCUGUUUGUCUGACACACAACGUCAUCCAUCGCAGACGUUUACUUGGGUCUUUCUUUUGUAAAUGGAGUGAAAUUCACCCCACUGCCCAUCCUGUCAGGAUUGCUUGUGUCGCUACUCUUUGCACACCUUUAUUUUUAAUCAUGUUUCUUUCUGUUAUAUUAAAAUUAACGACACAAAACAGGUCAAAUAUCACGACUUUUACUGCUUCUCAAUUGAACUAAAAAGCUACAGAUGUUCCAGAGUUUUACAGUCCCGGUUAAAAUGAUACUAAACUACCAUUGGCUCAUCUGCGUCUGAGGGGCGGGGCUUAGCGAUAAUCUGAUUUGAACGUAUUCAAACGGCAUUUGAGAGUGUGUUUCGCCAAAUAACAAAAACACAUAUUGACAAAGCAGGCUUAAUAACAUCUUUCGAUGGAUACCAAUUUGUUUUAAAGGUAUUUCAAGCGUUGUCAGGACUUAAAUUGUCAUUAUCUGAGUAAAAUCUCAUUAACACACGGAUUGGUUCCACCCCUCCUAAAUAGACCGUGCCAUGGGUCUUUGUUUUGGUACCGCCCUCAUUUUCCGGAAGUUAUAUUCACGCUGCUGGUGCUGCUGUCUGGGCACAUGUAGAAUAAGGAGGAGGUUUGUCUGUGAUCUGAAGUUUUAACCGAGUCCCUGUCAGGUUUAUCCUCCUCUCUCGCUCUCUGGCUCAUCCGUCAUGGCGCAGGAAAAUCUGUCUUUAGUGCUGCACUCAAAGGGAGACCUCAGACUGGUAAGAGACCGGCACAGACUUUUAUAUUAUGUGGUGAACAAAAUAAGUUGUAGCUCGUAUGAAACCAUCUAAAUGCACAUUUUUUUCCUUUUGAUUUUGUUCAUUUCUCAAAGGAAAAUCGCCCUGUCCCGGAGCCAGGACCUAAUGGUGCAGUAUGACAGUCUACUUUUACAAACAUUACAAAAUAAACUCUUAAAAUGUUGAAGAUGUGUGUCUUACUGCAAAACCAUCUCAAAGCUAGAGCACGUCCAGGCUGUUCUGCUUCAACUUCAUGCACUUAAUUUCAUGGAGCAUAUUUUUACCUCCAGAGAAAGUAUCUUUACUGAGCCAAAGCUGAGGUUUUGUUUUUAUGAUCAGGUUGCAAACAUUGCUUUUUGUCAUGUGUGUCCUGUUUUUUCCUUUUCCAGAGGUUUUGCUGCAGAUGCACUCUGUGGGAAUUUGUGGAUCAGACGUUCGUUUCUGGCAGCACGGACGGCUCGGGGAUUUUGUGGUUAAAAAACCUAUGGUGCUGGGCCAUGAGGCAUCAGGGCGGGUGGUGAAGGUCGGAGCUGCAGCCAAGCAUCUGAAAGUAGGUGAGUGGGCGUGUCUGGAAGCUGUUAAAUACUGGAGACUAUACACUCACCGGCCACUUUAUUAGGUACACCUGUCCAACUGCUCGUUAACACUUAAUUUCUAAUCAGCCAAUCACAUGGCGGCAACUUAGUGCAUUUAGGCAUGUAGACAUGGUCAAGACAAUCUCCUGCAGUUCAAACCUAGCAUCAGUAUGGGGAAGAAAGGUGAUUUGAGUGACUUUGAACGUGGCAUGGUUGUUGGUGCCAGAAGGGCUGGUCUGAGUAUUUCAGAAACUGCUGAUCUACUGGGAUUUUCAUGCACAACCAUCUCUAGGGUUUACAGAGAAUGGUCCGAAAAAGAAAAAAUAUCCAGUGAGCGGCAGUUCUGUGGGCGGAAAUGCCUUGUUGAUGCCAGAGGUCAGAGGAGAAUGGCCAGACUGGUUCGAGCUGAUAGAAAGGCAACAGUGACUCAAAUAACCACCCGUUACAACCAAGGUAGGCAGAAGAGCAUCUCUGAACACACAGUACGUCAAACUUUGAGGCAGAUGGGCUACAGCAGCAGAAGACCACGCCGGGUGCCACUCCUUUCAGCUAAGAACAGGAAACUGAGGCUACAAUUUGCACAAGCUCAUCGAAAUUGGACAAUAGAAGAUUGGAAAAACGUUGCCUGGUCUGAUGAGUCUCGAUUUCUGCUGCGACAUUCGGAUGGUAGGGUCAGAAUUUGGCGUCAACAUCAUGAAAGCAUGGAUCCAUCCUGCCUUGUAUCAACGGUUCAGGCUGGUGGUGGUGGUGUCAUGGUGUGGGGAAUAUUUUCUUGGCACUCUUUGGGCCCCUUGGUACCAAUUGAGCAUCGUUGCAACGCCACAGCCUACCUGAGUAUUGUUGCUGACCAUGUCCAUCCCUUUAUGACCACAAUGUACCCAACUUCUGAUGGCUACUUUCAGCAGGAUAAUGCGCCAUGUCAUAAAGCUGGAAUCAUCUCAGACUGGUUUCUUGAACAUGACAAUGAGUUCACUGUACUCAAAUGGCCUCCACAGUCACCAGAUCUCAAUCCAAUAGAGCAUCUUUGGGAUGUGGUGAACGGGAGAUUCGCAUCAUGGAUGUGCAGCCGACAAAUCUGCAGCAACUGUGUGAUGCCAUCAUGUCAAUAUGGACCAAGCUCUCUGAGGAAUGCUUCCAGCACCUUGUUGAAUCUAUGCCACGAAGAAUUGAGGCAGUUCUGAAGGCAAAAGGGGGUCCAACCCGUUAGUAGCAUGGUGUACCUAAUAAAGUGGCCGGUGAGUGUAUGUCACACAGCAAAGGGAGAUUCAGAAACUUUUACAUCUUUUAUCAUCUCUUAUCUCUUUUACCUCAAUCUUAUUUCGGCCUUACUGUCUUUUUAGCUUUUGUUUUACUUGUACUCUUUUCUUAAUUAACCUUUUAGGCCUUUUAUCGUUUUAUCUCUUGCUCAUUUCUGUUGCUCUAUUUUAUCAUUACUUUUAUUAUCAGGAUUACCUGUUGUUAUUAUUUAAUUACCAUUGUUGAUAUUGCCUUUUAUAUUUACUAUCCUGUUCUCGCUUUCGUCCUCCCUUUUAAUUGCAUUAUCCUUUUUUCUUAACUAUUUCAUGUUUUUAUUUUGGUCUUCAUGGUGUCAUUUUAUGUUGCAUGGUUCUUGUAUUGUCUGGGUUCCUUAUGGCAUGAAAAUGGCCUUCAAUACCGUUUUAACUGAGCUUUUUAAUUUUGUCUUUUUCCAUGUGCUCCACAACUACAUGUCAACUUCUGUUUUUCAAAAGUGCUAUACAAAUAAAGUUAUUAUAAUCUUUUUCUAAACUCUUGUCUUUUUAAAAGUUGUCAUUUCAACCAUUUGUGACCGAUUUCACUCCAUAUGAAUAAGUUUCCACUCAGCCUCACUGUAAUAGAGAUACUAUGACAAACUAACACCGGCUUUUUAAUCUCGCCUUGUGUCCUGAAGGUGACAGAGUUGCCAUCGAGCCUGGCGUUCCCCGUGAAAUGGACGAGUUCUUCAAAAAUGGACGAUACAACAUAUCUCCAACCAUCUUCUUCUGCGCCACUCCCCCUGAUGAUGGAAAUCUGUGCCGAUAUUACACCCACAGCGCCGACUUCUGCUACAAGUAACAGUCUGUUCAGGAUUUCAUAGCCACGCUGCAAAAGAUUACUCCACCACUGCCUUAUAUCUUCCUCCAACUGCCUCUUGCUUCACUUUUACAUCCUUCUCUUUCUCUCCUCUUUGUUCCUCUCAUUGUAACAAAUCAGGUUGCCUGACAAUGUGACAUUCGAAGAGGGAGCUCUAAUUGAACCUCUGUCUGUGGGGAUCCACGCCUGUCGCAGAGCAGGUGUGACCCUCGGCAGCAGUGUGCUCAUCUGUGGUGCAGGUGAGAACUAUUAAACCUGCAUUAAAUUUUUGCAUUGAGAAAGUACUGCAGACUGCCUUUCAGAGCAUGAUGCAAUCCGAUAUAAAGGAGGUGAUUGCAAUAUUUAAUAAAUAAAAAUAAAUAAUAAAAUUUGGUUCAACACUCUGUGGGUGUAUUCACAAACCUGAGAAUCAUACUGACUCAACAAAAUCUGAGUGAGAAGCUGCUGAACCUGAACACACCUUGUUAGGGUCUUAAUAUUUAACAAACCCCCUCUGCUGUGAAAACAAGCUAAUAGGAAACAUUUGAGACGAUUCCAUGAAGCAACAACAGAUGAAACACUUGAGGUUUUCAAUUCGGAUAUAGUUGCAGGUUACAGCUAUACUGCGGAUAUUAGUUAUGAAAUGUUAGUCUCGUUCGAGCGUUGAAUGUCUUCACUCAUGCUGUUAGAAUAGACUGUAUCUAUAAGUGUUACAUUAGCCAAUAUUCAGCUGUCUCUGCAGUCGGAGCAUCUCCUUUAUUCGUCCUUUCUCCACAGGACCGAUUGGGUUGGUUUGUUUGCUCGUAGCCAAAGCCAUGGGAGCAUCACAAGUUGUCAUCACUGGUAACUCGCAGAAAAUACAUCUGAACUGAAAUGACCAUUGUCAAGAAACAGGUUCUUGUAGUUGUCCUUGUCAUUAUUAUUUUUAUUCACAAUAAUGUUUGUGAAACCUCGUACCUUGUAUUCAGAUCUGUCCUCAGAGCGCCUCGCAAUGGCCAAAGAGUUGGGGGCAGACUUCCAGCUGACAGUGACAAGAGGAGACGGACCCCAGCAGCUGGCUCAGAGUGUUGCAGACAUGCUGGGCGCUCAGCCUCACAUCACUAUUGAAUGCACUGGAGUCGAGAGCAGCAUGCAAACUGCCAUAUAUGUAUGUGAAUAUCCUUUAUAAAGAGCAUUAGAAGUUGUAUUCAAAACAAGUAAGCAUCAAUGCAUAAACUGGAGACAAUAGAGAAUUCAUUCAGGCGCUGGACUUUUCUACAGUAUUUAUAGUUGAUCAGUAUGGUGCAGCCGUUAUUUAGCUGUAUGUCUUAAUCUUGAUUUAAAAAUCUGACAUAAAUCACAUGAUUUGAAAUUGUUCUGUGUUUUUUUCUUCUUCUCAGGCAGUUCGUUCAGGUGGUGUGGUGGCGCUGGUGGGUCUGGGUGCAGAGAUGGUCACUGUUCCGCUGGUUAAUGCGGCUAUCAGAGAAGUGGACAUCAGAGGGGUUUUCCGCUACUGCAACACGUAAGAAAUUCUCCCUUGCUUGCUCCUCUGGUGGUGUCAGCAGAUGUUCUGAGGCCGAUGAUAAAAGUAACUAAGCUUUUGGUUUGGUUUACAGAUACUAAUAAUUACACGAUAAACCUUCCAGUGAUUGUUUAGUAUCCCAAACAUCUGAAAUAUUUGUCUUUGUGUUGCAGUUGGCCAACUGCCAUAGCCAUGGUGGCUUCAGGUAAAGUGAACGUGAAGCCCCUUGUGACGCACCGUUUCCCUCUGGAACAAGCGGUUCAGGCCUUUGAGACCAACCGUCAGGGUGUCGGGGUAAAGAUUAUGUUAAAGUGUGACCAGAAUGACCAGAAACCCUGACCUGCUGCAGUGACAAAAACCUGAUCAACUGAGGACAACUCAGCAUGACAGACACAAACAUCAACACUGUGAUAGUGUAUACUGUGCACUGCACGAAGUUCAGACGCUCUUUUAGCAUCAAAUGGUACAUGUAAUUAUAGAACACUGAACUCUAAAAGAAUAUUUAAAUGAUUUGAACACGAUUUUCUAUCAUUACAUAAUUUCUAAAUUAUUGACCAUUUUAUAGGCAACUGUUAAAAAAAAAGAGAAUCCUCAGAAUAAAAUCAAAAUCAGAAAAUA